rnacentral:rRNA from 1 species
GGGUUGUGAGGUUAAGCGACUAAGCGUACACGGUGGAUGCCCUGGCAGUCAGAGGCGAUGAAGGACGUGCUAAUCUGCGAAAAGCGUCGGUAAGGUGAUAUGAACCGUUAUAACCGGCGAUGUCCGAAUGGGGAAACCCAGUGUGAUUCGUCACACUAUCGUUAACUGAAUACAUAGGUUAACGAGGCGAACCGGGGGAACUGAAACAUCUAAGUACCCCGAGGAAAAGAAAUCAACCGAGAUUCCCCCAGUAGCGGCGAGCGAACGGGGAGCAGCCCAGAGUCUGAAUCAGCUUGUGUGUUAGUGGAACGGUCUGGAAAGUCCGACGGUACAGGGUGAUAGUCCCGUACACCAAAAUGCACAGGCUGUGAACUCGAAGAGUAGGGCGGGACACGUGGUAUCCUGUCUGAAUAUGGGGGGACCAUCCUCCAAGGCUAAAUACUCCUGACUGACCGAUAGUGAACCAGUACCGUGAGGGAAAGGCGAAAAGAACCCCGGCGAGGGGAGUGAAAAAGAACCUGAAACCGUGUACGUACAAGCAGUGGGAGCACCUUCGGGUGUGACUGCGUACCUUUUGUAUAAUGGGUCAGCGACUUAUAUUCUGUAGCAAGGUUAACCGUAUAGGGGAGCCGCAGGGAAACCGAGUCUUAACUGGGCGUUAAGUUGCAGGGUAUAGACCCGAAACCCGGUGAUCUAGCCAUGGGCAGGUUGAAGGUUGGGUAACACUAACUGGAGGACCGAACCGACUAAUGUUGAAAAAUUAGCGGAUGACUUGUGGCUGGGGGUGAAAGGCCAAUCAAACCGGGAGAUAGCUGGUUCUCCCCGAAAGCUAUUUAGGUAGCGCCUCGUGAACUCAUCUUCGGGGGUAGAGCACUGUUUCGGCUAGGGGGUCAUCCCGACUUACCAACCCGAUGCAAACUACGAAUACCGAAGAAUGUUAUCACGGGAGACACACGGCGGGUGCUAACGUCCGUCGUGAAGAGGGAAACAACCCAGACCGCCAGCUAAGGUCCCAAAGUCAUGGUUAAGUGGGAAACGAUGUGGGAAGGCACAGACAGCCAGGAUGUUGGCUUAGAAGCAGCCAUCAUUUAAAGAAAGCGUAAUAGCUCACUGGUCGAGUCGGCCUGCGCGGAAGAUGUAACGGGGCUAAACCAUGCACCGAAGCUGCGGCAGCGACACUAUGUGUUGUUGGGUAGGGGAGCGUUCUGUAAGCCUGCGAAGGUGUGCUGUGAGGCAUGCUGGAGGUAUCAGAAGUGCGAAUGCUGACAUAAGUAACGAUAAAGCGGGUGAAAAGCCCGCUCGCCGGAAGACCAAGGGUUCCUGUCCAACGUUAAUCGGGGCAGGGUGAGUCGACCCCUAAGGCGAGGCCGAAAGGCGUAGUCGAUGGGAAACAGGUUAAUAUUCCUGUACUUGGUGUUACUGCGAAGGGGGGACGGAGAAGGCUAUGUUAGCCGGCGACGGUUGUCCCGGUUUAAGCAUGUAGGCUGGUUAUCCAGGCAAAUCCGGAUAAUCAAGGCUGAGGUGUGAUGACGAGGCACUACGGUGCUGAAGUAACAAAUGCCCUGC